UCUCCUUCAUGAUAUCGGUUUCACCUCUCAAGGCUUCACUCUUAAUGGUAUAUAGACCUUUCAGAAAAUGAAAAGAGGUAGCUUUUUACUUUUUGUUGCAUGAGAAUGGAAAAACAUUAAACAGAAUUAAAAUAUGAGUUGGAGUAAACCAAACAUAUUUACAUUCAAUUUUAUUAUUUUGGAAUUGCCUAGGUAAAACUUCCACAUGGCCUGGACAAGACCUCGGAGGUGAUAAAAAUCUUGUAUGACCCUGGGAUUCUCAGAUUUGAAAUCAGAAGGCUCGCUAUU
rnacentral:lncRNA from 1 species